rnacentral:lncRNA from 12 species
AGCUCAUUUCCCCAGGAAGACAUACCUGAUGAAAGGAGGGAGACCUCUUUUGCGCUAAUAACACGCUGGCCUCAUCCAACUCCCUGCAUCUUUAAUUAAUGUUUACAAAGCACUUUAAUCUACCCAACAAGCUAGUUAAUUAGGCCAGUAUUAUUAUCCCUCUCUUUCUGAACCAAAUCCAGGAAAGAAUCAAUACUGUCAGUCCUUAAUCCUCCAUGAAUAAUGGUCUAAACUUUCCGCUGUUUAUGUUUUUUUUAUUCCCAAAUUGUGUCCCAUAUUGUGUUAUAUACUAAUGCAUUUAGCAUGAAUGGGCUUACUACAAGUUAAAGAGUAUUAAACACCCGUGGGUGAGGGAGGUAAAAUAAGCAACCCUUGUCUUUAAGGAUUUCAGGUAAAGAAAAAGACGUUUUGUCAAGGGCUUCUCAGAAUUUUUUUUCUUUUUAUUAAUGCGCUUUUGGCUUGGUUGGGUUUUCAUGACGUGUAAUUAAUUUUUAAAGUUUACUUAAAAUUUCUGAGUCACACGGUAUCUUUUGUGUAAAAGUUAAAUUUUACUCAGUAUCUUUUCUGACAGGUGAAGAAGAGGUAAGAAGGAAGAAAUGGAUGGAAGGAAUUAGGAAGGAAGAAGGAGAAAAGAAAAAGACAAGCAAACAAAUGACCUCCAAACACCACCACCACCACCACCACCACCACCACCACCACCACCACCAAAAAACAGACAAAGAAUGAACCAGGAAGAAAAUGAGACAGGUUUCAACCAGGUGUCUCACACCCCGGAGCUCUGUGGGGAUUACAAACAGAUUGUUAAAUAGGAUUUAAAAACAAAACAAAACAAAAACAAAACCUCUUCCUAUGGAGAAUCACAACAGGAAAAGAAAAGGGAAAUCGCACCACACGCUACCAUUCACCAGAACAGUGGCUUCUGUCUACAAGGAGGCAGUGACUCCCCAGAAGAGACGCCUGACUGAAUAUCUGUGGAAAGCAUCCAGGCACCAGACUCCUGAAGAGCAGUGCUACCCUCCUUCAGGUACCUUCACUGCUCUGAACCAACCAGGCUGGCCCUGAGCAGGAACCAUGAUCCUGAUGGCGUUAGCUAUAUCAUCCCGCUCAGGCCCCCACAACAAUAUACCUCAUAACCGGGUGCCUUAAGCAACAGAAAGCUAUUUUCCCACGAUUCUGAAAGCUGGAGGUCCAAGAUCAAGGUGUUGGCAGGUUUUGUUUCUUCAGCAGUCUUUUUCACUCCUUGGCUUUGGACAGCUGUCUCCUCCCCAUUCCUCCCCCUGGUCUUCCCUCUUCACCUGUCUGUGUCCUAAUCUCCUCUUCUGGAAAGGACACCAGUCAUGUUGGAUUAGGGCCCAUUAUAGGACCUUAUUUAUUAUUAGUUUUUUAAAUCAAAUUACAUCUUUAAAGGCCCUGUCUCCACAGACAGUCACAUUCCGAGGUCCUAGGAGUUAGGACCCCAACAUUCGAAUUUGAGAUGUUGAUGUAAACAGAGGGACAGGUGCCACAUACGGUUGUAACUUACUUGGCAAGGCUGGAAGAAGGGAAGAGUGUACAAAGAGUGUUUUGAAGAGGAAAGGAGGAUUACAGUUAUUUAGUUAGCAUUUAUUACGUGUGGGCCAUGUCCUAGAAGCUCUGCUUAGCCUCACUUGGGCCUCCUUGAACCUCAAAUAGCCACCUUCUAAGGAGAGUUCUCUUCACCUUCUUGUGUAGUGUCCUCUUUGAUUUUUAAAUCUUACUCUGAUCGGUGGUGGUUGAGGCUGUUAAAGAACUUAACCUCCAAACGUUCAAACUCAUUUAGAAGUUCGGCUCUUCUCUUGAGUUCCUGACCCAUGGUAAAAACGUGUAUAAGCCUGUCAGCUGAGUCCUAAAUUAUUUCCCUGAAACGCCAUGAAAUACCCUGCAGCUUCUCCAAAGGACGGCCUGGUCCCACCUGAAUAUGAUGGAACCGCAGGUUGGCGCGGUCAGUUGUGCAAGGGGGAAGCUCGGGGUUGUGGGUGGGCCAGUGUUGCGGGGUGGGGCGAGCGUGCGAGAGAGCUCUGCGCCGGUUCUGAUUCAAUGACUA